rnacentral:rRNA from 1 species
GACGAACGCUGGCGGCGUGCCUAAUACAUGCAAGUAGAACGCUGAAGGAGGAGCUUGCUUCUCUGGAUGAGUUGCGAACGGGUGAGUAACGCGUAGGUAACCUGCCUGGUAGCGGGGGAUAACUAUUGGAAACGAUAGCUAAUACCGCAUAAGAACAGUUGUUGCAUGACAGCUGUUUAAAAGGUGCAAUUGCAUUACUACCAGAUGGACCUGCGUUGUAUUAGCUAGUUGGUGGGGUAACGGCUCACCAAGGCAACGAUACAUAGCCGACCUGAGAGGGUGAUCGGCCACACUGGGACUGAGACACGGCCCAGACUCCUACGGGAGGCAGCAGUAGGGAAUCUUCGGCAAUGGACGGAAGUCUGACCGAGCAACGCCGCGUGAGUGAAGAAGGUUUUCGGAUCGUAAAGCUCUGUUGUAAGAGAAGAACGAGUGUGAGAGUGGAAAGUUCACACUGUGACGGUAUCUUACCAGAAAGGGACGGCUAACUACGUGCCAGCAGCCGCGGUAAUACGUAGGUCCCGAGCGUUGUCCGGAUUUAUUGGGCGUAAAGCGAGCGCAGGCGGUUAGAUAAGUCUGAAGUUAAAGGCUGUGGCUUAACCAUAGUACGCUUUGGAAACUGUUUAACUUGAGUGCAAGAGGGGAGAGUGGAAUUCCAUGUGUAGCGGUGAAAUGCGUAGAUAUAUGGAGGAACACCGGUGGCGAAAGCGGCUCUCUGGCUUGUAACUGACGCUGAGGCUCGAAAGCGUGGGGAGCAAACAGG